rnacentral:rRNA from 1 species
AACAAACGCUGGCGGCGUGCCUAACACAUGCAAGUCGAACGUGAAAGUUGGCUUCGGCCGAUGAGUAAAGUGGCGCACGGGUGAGUAACGCGUGGAUAAUCUACCCUUCAGUUGGGAAUAACUCAUCGAAAGGUGAGCUAAUACCGAAUAAUACUGCUUGACCAUGGUCAGGCAGUCAAAGAUAGCCUCUGCUUGCAAGCUUUCGCUGAAAGAUGAGUCCGCGUACCAUUAGCUAGUUGGUGGGGUAAUGGCCUACCAAGGCGACGAUGGUCAGCUGGUCUGAGAGGAUGAUCAGCCACACUGGAACUGAGACACGGUCCAGACUCCUACGGGAGGCAGCAGUGAGGAAUCUUGCGCAAUGGGGGAAACCCUGACGCAGCAACGCCGCAUGAGUGAGGAAGGUCUUCGGAUCGUAAAGCUCUGUCGGGUGGAAAGAAAUGUAUGGGGUUAAUAGCCUUCAUACUUGACGGUACCACCAAAGGAAGCACCGGCUAACUCCGUGCCAGCCGCCGCCGUAACAC